rnacentral:rRNA from 1 species
UACGUAGGGUGCAAGCGUUGUCCGGAAUUAUUGGGCGUAAAGAGCUCGUAGGCGGUCUGUCGCGUCUGCUGUGAAAACUCGGGGCUUAACCCCAGGCCUGCAGUGGGUACGGGCAGACUAGAGUGCGGUAGGGGAGACUGGAAUUCCUGGUGUAGCGGUGAAAUGCGCAGAUAUCAGGAGGAACACCGGUGGCGAAGGCGGGUCUCUGGGCCGUAACUGACGCUGAGGAGCGAAAGCGUGGGGAGCGAACAGG